GCUGGGCGUGAUGGCUCAUGCCUGUAAUCCCAACACUUUGGGAGGCCGAGGCAGGUGGAUCACUUGAGGUCAGGAGUUCGAGACCAGCCUGGCCAACACAGUGAAACCCUGUCUCUA
rnacentral:SRP_RNA from 1 species